rnacentral:rRNA from 1 species
AUUGAACGCUGGCGGCAGGCCUAACACAUGCAAGUCGAACGGUAACAGGAAGCAGCUUGCUGCUUUGCUGACGAGUGGCGGACGGGUGAGUAAUGUCUGGGAAACUGCCUGAUGGAGGGGGAUAACUACUGGAAACGGUAGCUAAUACCGCAUAACGUCGCAAGACCAAAGAGGGGGACCUUCGGGCCUCUUGCCAUCGGAUGUGCCCAGAUGGGAUUAGCUAGUAGGUGGGGUAACGGCUCACCUAGGCGACGAUCCCUAGCUGGUCUGAGAGGAUGACCAGCCACACUGGAACUGAGACACGGUCCAGACUCCUACGGGAGGCAGCAGUGGGGAAUAUUGCACAAUGGGCGCAAGCCUGAUGCAGCCAUGCCGCGUGCAUGAAGAAGGCCUUCGGGUUGUAAAGUACUUUCAGCGGGGAGGAAGGGAGUAAAGUUAAUACCUUUGCUCAUUGACGUUACCCGCAGAAGAAGCACCGGCUAACUCCGUG